GUCAGCAAUCUUACCGGGGUAAUUUGAUCCACGUGGCAUGACGAUUUGUCCCCUUCGCGGGAAAUCUCCAAGCCUAACGAUCAUCUGCUGCACUGCAUCCACAAACCCAAUUCAUGAAGAUUUGUCUCGAGAGUAUCAAUGCAUUUUGAAGAACAAUAUCAGCUGUGCAAGCAGACUACACCCGAUGGCUGAUCUUCUUUCCAAUUCCAUACCCAAAUUCCCACUCUUUAAUCCCGCCUAUACUCCUCCCAAGCUCCUUCACCCAUUUUCAGCUCUUUCAAGAACCUCCAUAGCUGGAAGAUGGAGCAGAAGAAGAAGAAGAAAGCCGCCUCAAAUCAUAUUCUUCUGCAAACCCAGUUCCCAAGAUCUUGCAGUCAUUUCAACCCACGAACAUGGUGAUGGUAGUCUGAUAUUCCGGUUUGGGGAUCCAAGUGAGCUUGCAAAAGAGGAGGAAUCCAAGCCUGAGAAGGUGGGGAGUGAAGAUGUGGAGGAAUUUAGUGUGGUGAAAGUGUUGGAUGGAGAUUGUGAGAGAGAAGUGAUUGUUAAGAAUGUCGAGAGAAAAGUUAGGGCUGAUGCCACUGUUACUAAGAUUUCUGAUUCAGUAGUAAUUAGGAGUGAAGGCAGCAGUCUUUUGGAAAGAGGCAUUGAAUCAGUAGAUGAGCAGUUGUUGGAAAUUUCUGAUGAUUGUUUCGCAUCUUCGGUUCACCAGACAGGAUUGCUCGAUGAGAUUGUAGUAGAGAAGGAUGGGGGCCGAGUUUCAAUCGAAUUGAUAGAUACUAUGGAAGUUCAGGCAGAACAAAGUGAUAGAGAAUUGAGUGAGAAAUCUGCCUCUGAGGUUUGUACAACGAAUGUCGUGGAUCUUGAGAAGAAGGAUUGGGGCGAAGCUUCAAUCCCAUUGACAGAUAAUGUGGAAGCUCAGGCGGAAGAAUUUGAUACAGGGUCAAGUGGGGAAUCGGUCUCUAAGGUUAGUACGGAGAACGUUGUAGCUCUAGAGAACGAUGGGGGCAAAGAAUCAAUUCCAUUGAUAGAUAAUGUGGAAGUACAGGCAGAACAAGGUGAUAGGGAAUCGAGCGAGAAGUUAUUAGAAGAUUCAGUGGCAGAAGUGCAGGAUUCUUCUGGCUCUGAGAUCACCGAGGAAAAUGCUAUACCUAAGGAUGGGAAAUUUUCAGAAGAGCACGAGGCUGAAAGCUCGGUUUCAUUGAGAGAUAAUGGUGGUGAAUCCACGAUACAAUCAAUAUCUUCUGAUGUUGAUUCUUCAAUGACUGUAACUGUCAAUUAUGUCAAUCAGGAAAGUAGUGACAUUCAAACAGCAAAACUUGUGCUAUCUUCUGGUGCAGCUUUAUUGCCACAUCCCUCUAAGGCAUUGACAGGUGGAGAGGAUGCAUAUUUUGUGACCAAUCAGAACUGGCUAGGCAUAGCUGAUGGAGUUGUUCAGUGGUCUCUCGAAGGAAUUUAUCCGGGAUUAUAUUCCAGAGAACUCAUGGAGAAUUGCGAAAAGGUUAUAUUGCAGUCUGGCAGUGAUUCGGGAACUGAUCCUAAGGUAGUUCUUAAACUGAGCGUGGCAAAAGUAGAGUCUCCUGGAUCCUCAACGGCUUUGAUUGCACACUUUGAUGGUCAGCUGAAUGGUUGCAGGCUUUCCAUGUGGCUAAUAUCGGAGACUCUGGGUUUAUGAUCAUAAGGAACGGUGUCAUAUAUAAGAAGUCAUCUCCAAUGCUCCAUGAGUUCAAUUUCCCCAUGCAAAUCGAAAGCGGUGAUGAUCCCUCUCAAGUUGUGGAGGAAUACAGAAUUGAGUUAGAUGAGGGGGACAUCGUGGUCACCGGAACUGAUGGUCUUUUCGACAAUUUGUAUGCACAAGAAAUAGCAUCGAUUAUCACAAAAUUGUUGGAAGCUAACGAAACACCUAAGGAAAUUGCUGAGAUCUUGGCUACAAGGGCACAGGAAGUUGGUGGCGCCACGUCGGGAAGAACCCCAUUUUCUGAUGCAGCCCAAGCAGCUGGAUAUGUGGGGCAAACUGGAGGAAAGCUUGAUGAUGUAGCUGUAAUUGUGUCACUGGUUCAAGAUCCCACUCACUGAGUGGCAGACAGACAGGGUAUAGUAUCAACUGCUUUAUGUUGUGCCAACAUUAUUCUGGCUCCUUAACCAUGAUUAUUCAAAGAAAAACAUGUUUUCCUCUUCAUCUUCCUGUAUCUUAACUUGGGCAAUCGAUGUUGGAUGGCCUAGCUCUUUUGCAGUUGACCAUUUUAUUAAUCAAAAGCUUAUGGAGAAAAGCAGAGUGAUUAGUCUUAGAUAGCUGUGCUAAUCUUGAAUCAUUAACUUUCUGGAAAAAAA